AAAGGAACGUUCGUUGUGAUAUACGUACACUUUAAAGAAUAUAUCACAGUGAUUUUCCUUUAU
rnacentral:pre_miRNA from 1 species